AGUGAACGCUGGCGGUAGGCCUAACACAUGCAAGUCGAACGGCAGCACAGUAAGAGCUUGCUCUUACGGGUGGCGAGUGGCGGACGGGUGAGGAAUACAUCGGAAUCUACUUUUUCGUGGGGGAUAACGUAGGGAAACUUACGCUAAUACCGCAUACGACCUACGGGUGAAAGCAGGGGAUCUUCGGACCUUGCGCGAUUGAAUGAGCCGAUGUCGGAUUAGCUAGUUGGCGGGGUAAAGGCCCACCAAGGCGACGAUCCGUAGCUGGUCUGAGAGGAUGAUCAGCCACACUGGAACUGAGACACGGUCCAGACUCCUACGGGCGGCCGCAGUGGGCAAUAUUGGACAAUGGGCGCAAGCCUGAUCCAGCCAUACCGCGUGGGUGAAGAAGGCCUUCGGGUUGUAAAGCCCUUUUGUUGGGAAAGAAAAGCAGCAGGUUAAGACCCCGCUGUUCUGACGGUACCCAAAGAAUAAGCACCGGCUAACUUCGUG
rnacentral:rRNA from 1 species